GUAGUUUUCAGGUAGAGCACAAAAAUUCAAUAAAUUAAUCAAUAAUGCUGCAUAUUCUUUACUGUGUAAAUUGGAUUAAUUCUUAUUAAAGUUACAAAAGUUAUUCAAUCAAUAUAUAUCAACAUUAUAUUUUCUUUGUGGUUUGAUUAACAUUAAAAACAGCAUCAGGUUUAUACACUCUAAAAAUGCUGGAUUGUUUUUAACCAACCCAGUCUCACAGAGUUGUGUAUAAAUAGCACGAAGUGUGAAAAUCACAAAAUACAAACGCCAAAUUCCAACGCUUUGUCAUUUUAUUUAUUGUUUUUUUUUUUGCAAUUUUUUUACCAUUGUCGCUUGGGUAGGGUUAGAACAACUUUUUGUUACAUAAAAAUGACACCCUAACCCAAACCCCAAUUCUAACUCCAAGCGACCAUGGCUUAAAAAUAGACAAAAACAUGGAGAAAGAUGUAUAUUACAUAACCUCCUUAAGCAAAUCUCUAACCCUAAACACAAGCGAAAAUGGUUUAAAAAACAGAAAAAAAUUUGAAACCAAUAGAUAAAACGACAAAAAAGAUGCGCCAUUUAAGUGAUUGGGAAGGACUAGCGUAUCAUAUGCUAUGUAUUGCAUGAUUUUCACACUUCGUGCUAUUUAUACAUAUCUACAUGAGACUGGUUAGCUUUUAACCCAUGGCUGGGACAAUAUUAGACAGAACGUCUCGGUUACGUAUGUAACCCUCGUUCCCUGAAGGAAGGGAACGGAGACGUCACGUCGUGACCGACGUAUUGGGAACGCGCCUCGCGAGACCAAUCUACUUUGAGAACUACUAACACGCCAAUGAACUUGGCUCGGGUAUUUAAACGAGCCCCGCCGCUCGGGUAUUUAAACGAGGAUCAGGUGCAAUAUCAUUAGCUAGAUUUUUCGCUGAGAAAGCUGGCAACAGUGCACGGCCUAAUUCAGCAAUGGAACAGAACUGUGGCGACGGGACGUGACGUCUCCGUUACCUUCCUUCAGGGCACGAGGGUUACAUAACCGAGACGUUCCCUUUCAGUCGGUCACUACGACGUCACGUCGUGUUCGACGUAUUGGGAAACCCUACCAAAGCACCACAGAAGCUGAACCCUUCCAGUGCCUGCAAAAGCCCUCCAGCCUCCACGUAGGGGGCGGAUGCUAAGGCUUACUGCAGAAGGCCAGUCACUACCUGUUCCUUAAAGCUCACGUAACACACGCUGUUUCUGCAUUUCUGAUGUUAAUCUGGAGUACCUAUAGAGUAGUAUGACAUCCUUUAUAUCUCUGAAGAGUCUUUAGUUUAAUCAGAUUUAUAAAAGAAAGAUUAGCUUUACCGAAUCUUUCCGAUAAUGUACGAAAAAAUGAAGAAGGAGGAGUUACUUUCGCAGGAGGAGCGAGUACGAGUCAUGCAACACUAUACAACACUGUUUUAACUUAUGAUUCACUACAUGUUCGUGUCAUUUAUAUAAUAUGCACGCGACUAUUUCCAACAUAAGACAGAAGUCUUACUUGCCGCGUGCAACUCGUCAUGACCCGGUUGGGAAGAUCCACUGCAUCAAACACACACGCAAAACUCCGCUGCUACCCCGGAUAAUAUACUAUAUCCAUUGUUUCCAUAAGGCUGGAUGUCUUCUCCUUAAAUCCAAAAACACACUUCUUCUUUUGUGCAAUUGUUGACUUUUGAAAUUAAACAAAGCUGAGUGGCGUGAUAAGCUGUUAGCAGCUCUAGCGUCUCCCGCUGAUUGACGGGUGGGCGGGGUUUUCCGGGGGAAGUUUUCCGGUGGAAGCCCAUAUAAAGAAGUGAUACGUAUCGAAAACCCCUGAAACGUCAGUUAGAACUGUAAUAAAAAAAAACUUGCCGAAACUUGUACGAACCCUGGCGAAGUGCAUUCGGCACAGAAAUACUCUGUAACACGUCCAACUGCUGUUUUGACACUUUGCCUACGUUUAGCAUGAGGAAACCACUCUAUAACUGUGUUAAUAAGUCAGAAUGCUUGAAAUACCAUUAAACCCCCCCUUUAACCCACGACAGUGACUAGGCGAACUGGGAAGUGAACCCAUCAGGCGGGACUAGAACGCUGCAGAACUACCCUCUAGGGGGUCUACCACAUGGGUGACAUCAUGAGAGCUUAAAGCAUAACGUGAAAACCCUCUUAGUAGUAUUUCAUACUAGGGGAACGCGGAGCGUGCUCCGCUAGGGGAAUGUGGUAAGAAUGUCCACGGAAAUACACGCAUAGAGACCCAUAGGGGGCGCAAUGCGGGUGCCUAACCUAACCCAGGUUCACAUGGAAACAUCUAGUGAGAGGCUUACAGCAGAAGCUCCGCAACAUUAGCUGUCAAGGCAGUGGAGGAGUGAAAAACGCUAUUUUGCGACAUUUUUGCUAUAAAGGCUUUCCAUAAUGGUGCGGUUGUGGAGCACCAAAAUAGAAGCUGCAAGCCGACACGAGCCAGUCUCUAGUGGUCUAUUCUGAUUGGAAUAAAAGACCUGAGAGGAUACCGGCUCAACACGAACACUGUCAACCUAGUGAACGUGUUAGGUGUCGCCCAGCCAGCAGCUCUGUAGAUGUCUGUUAGCAAGGAACCACGAGCCAAUGCCCAAGAUGAUGCUACACUUUUUGUCGAAUGUGCAGGCAGAUUAAACGGGCGAGGAAUACCCUGCUUUUCAUACGCAAGGGUAAUAUUGUCCACAAUCCAAUGGGACAUCCGCUGCUUGGUGACAGCAUUCCCCUUCUGCUGACCACCGUAACAAACAAAGAGCUGUUCUGAGGUUCUAAUUAGCUUUGCGUCUGAGUUACAUACACACGUAGCGCACGCACCGGACAUAAUAAAGCCAUGGAUGGGUCUGCCUCCUCCGGGGGCAGCGCUUGCAAGUUCACCACUUGGUCUCCGAAUGGAGUAGAGGGAAUUUUGGGCACGUAGCCAGGCUGUCUCAGUAUUUAAAUGGAUUCAGCUGGCCCGAACUGUAGACACAAAUCGUUGACCGAAAAUGCAUGAAGAUCCCCUAUCCUUUUUACUGAAGCCAAAGCAAGGAGUGUUAAAGUUUUGAAAGUUAGAAACUUUACACUCACAGAAUGCAGAGGCUCAAAGGGGGCGUCCUGUAAAGCUUUCAGCACUACGGACAGGUCCCAAGGAGGAAUAGAGGGAGGACAAGAAGGAUGCUAUAGAGAUUGAUUAAUCUCUUUAAUAAUUCACGCAAAAAACAUGAUUCACACAUGCGUACACGAUUUCACAUGCAUGAAAUCUAACUCACAUACAUAAAAAUAUAUAUAUUCGCAAAAAAACGAUGUACAUACACAAAAUAAAAAUACAUAUUCAUAAAAUACGUUUCACAAACGAAAAAAACUAUUCACAAAUGUAGAACAGUGUAUGAAAAGUUUUAAAUUUUGAGUUUAUCAUGACUGUGAAUGUACGAAUCGUCUUUUUCGUGAGUGAAUUGCUUUGAAUUCGUGUGUGUUUUUUGAGACUUUGGUGGCAGUGCACUUCUCCAACGUGGGUCACUCGUACUCUUUAGCCAAUCAGAUGCAAGCUUACCAUUCAACCAAUCAUAACCCGCCAAGAGCGCAGCAUUCAAGGAGCUCAGCAUUGCACACCUUUUGCGCAAUCAACUGAAAUGAAGCUUCACGUCAUCAACCAAGCAUGGUGAACGAAGUGCGGGAUAUACGUAUUGUAUUAAAGGACUCUCGUCAUGUAAUACUGUCACAGAGCAGUUGUUCUUAUGUUCCUGGGACAGCACAUUGUUGCACUAACUCAGAGUGCACAGAACAGAAGUUCACAGCUGUACUGAAAUGGUUGAGAGCUGACACAGACCUAGAACAAUGAGGUUCUGUCUGCAAGACCCAAAGAAAUGAGCUUGCUGAUGUAUUAAGGAGUACCUUUUAAAAGAGUGUCGCCUGUAAGCUGCCUGACCUCACAGUCCUCCAAGUAGCAGAGGCGUUUAAGGACCUUGCCAGUGCUGUAGCCCCUUCGGUCACCACUAUCAGGAUGUCACAUGUCAAUUCUUUGGUGGAUUUUGGCUUUGGCAGAGUUUAGUAUGGAAGUGUGUUGUCAUACCAGCAGCAACAACACGCAACCUUAAUCGCUAUCAAGAUGCCCCAUAACUACAACCUCUGCAACUACUUGGCUACAGCCUUGACACAUCUGUUUGCUUGUUAGUUAUUUAUAUUUACAUGUUUACAUUUCUGAAGUGUAGGCAGUUAUUUACAGUAUAUUUAAAUACAUUACUGCAUGGUAAAUGUUCAAAGCCACAUGUUUACAUUCCUGCAGUGCAUGCAACACUGAAUAAAAGUUACUUACAGUAUAUUUACAUUCA